rnacentral:rRNA from 2 species
UCCACCUCUUCCCAUUCCGAACAGAGAAGUUAAGCCUCGUCACGCCGAUGGUACUGCGUAACAGUGGGAGAGUAGGUAGCCGCCGUUU